GCGCUUCUCAUGAAGUUAUGCCACCAGCACCGCAUCUAAGAUGGACAGGGUGCGCCUUGCGUGAUUCUGAUGCCAUAAAGAUGGCAACAUCCCUGAAAGCUGUCCCCAUUCCUAUUAGCCAUUUCUGCACGUCCCUUGAUAGAACGACAGGACAUUCUCGUUAAUGGUUUUUUACCCUCUUCCAUGCGUUUCCCUUGGUGUGAAAUACAGUGCUGAGCAAGCUGUAUGGCUUCUUUUCUUUCUUUCUUUCUUUUUUUUUUUAACUUCACAGAACUCCCGAAGUCCCAUCGUUCUACAGGAAUCAGACUGAUGUCAUCUAAACCUCAGCAUAUGCUUUUCGUUAAUGAUGGAAAGUUUCUUUCUCAUCACCAAAGGAGUUUGUGAGAGACCUAAGGGUCAAAGAAAUGGCAUUCAGCGGGUCGUCACGGUCCAUCCACGUUCCCACUCUUCCCAGAGAGCAGUGAGACUGGUAAUCAUUAAAAAAAACAUCACCCUGCAAAAUUGUGACAACUUCUUCCUCUCAUAGCCUGAAUCAGUGUCCCCAGAGAUAGCAGGUCUCUGUCUCUAGAACUGGGGAAUGUGACCUGGUUUGGAGAAGAAAUCUUUGCAGACUGUCACCUUUGGAACUCAGCCUUGUCUGAAAAUCCAUCCAGUCAAGAUGAAAAACCACCUGAUGGAGUCACCAGUUACCUGAGGAAGGGGACACAGCCAUAGGAGAUGGAGCUGAGACGUGGCCUCACCUACCCCUUUCGUUAAAGGAGAUAGGACUCAAAGGGGUCAGUUUUGCCGUGGGAAGCAGCCCAGGGACCAGAGCCCUGUUUCCAUGGCAGGGAGAGGUGAGCAAAAGACAAGAAGAAUUCGGGCUUCCCAGAAGCGGAAUCACGCAGGUGUUCCUACUUGAGGAGAUUUUUUCCCCGGCGGUGAGUGAGACAUCCAGGUUCCUGGCCGAACUGGUCCUCUGCCAUCUUCAACACCUGCCUCCCAAGGUACAACGUGGUCCUGAGAAAAGACAGAGCAGGGUGACGCUGACAAACCGGCCAUCUCACCUCGGGGAGGAGUCUACCGAGCACGGAUGCUAGGACACUCAAAGUAAACAGUUUGGUGUUAUUCGUAGUUCCAGGGGUCUUGGAAUGUAUCCCCUGAGGAUAAGGAGAUGGGAGUGAUGCGUUACAAAUCCAGGAACGCCUGGAGCUGUCAGAAGCUGGAAGACGGAUGGCGGGACCCUCAUGCAGAGCUUCUGAAGGGAACCUCGUCCUGCUUACACCUUGAUCUCGGAUGUCUGGCCUUUAGAAAUGUGAGGGUAUACAUUUCAACAGUCUUAGGAAAGUCAUACAGACAGGACAGCGAAUGAGAUUUCUUCAUGGAUGGACGUGGGACACACAAGAGAACAGAAGAGUUCCUGGAUGCUGAACCACCUGUGAGGCUGAUGUGACACCCAUCCUUCAGCCCAGGGAAAUGGAAACGGGACCGGAACAGCAGGGGGAAAUGUUCUAAUCAUGCAGGAGAGUGAACUCUGGGACUACGUAAACCAGACCAUGACAUGCAUAUACCUAAGAGAACGAUGAAGGUUUCAGUGAAGAUAAGACCCCACCUUUUCAUGACUACAAAGACACCGAAACCCCAGCAGGUGGGAGAAGUCAACUGCAUGCCGCCCACCAGCACGCAGACCCAGACCAGUUGGAACCAGAAGGUCGAUGAUGCUGACUUCUGAUGACCUCACCGCCAACCAAUCAGAAGAGUGUCCACGAGCCGAUCACACCCUCUUUGAACCAUCGCUAUAAAACCCUUCACUACCCCCUCCAGACUCAACGAAUGAUCUUGACUUCAGUCUUGCAGAAGAACAGAAAUUCUCUCAGCUGCGAUCGACCUCACCUCCCUUCCAUCAAACCCACCCCGCCUUUUCUCUAUUGCCUGCAACUCACGUGGAAGAAGUAUCUGAGCGUAUUAAUGUGGAAACGCCUAUAUUUUCCUUCCCUGCUCUUGGCAACCCGAGGUAACACCCACAGUCACAAAGGGUUGGUGUACUGUCCGUGGACCCUCUCCUGGGUCAUGUCCAUCUUCAUCGCCUGCUGCCUUGGAUGUUCUGUCUCAGGACUUGUGCAAACUCAAACUUUUGAGGGGCGGGGUGAUCGUGAGUGCCCCCUGUAUUAUCCACAACAAACAAGGUUUGGAUAUGCCCCAAGGUUUGGGGCAUAGAUGUCCCAUCCUUGAGGGGGACACAGUCCUGAUAACUCAUUCUUUUUUAAAAAAUUUUUAUUGGAGUAGAGUUGAUUGAUUUACAACGUUGUGUUAGUUUCAGGUGUACAGCAAAGUGAAUCAGUUACACAUACAUCUAUUCUUUGUUGGAUUCUUUUCCCGUAUACGUUAUUAUUCUUCUCCCUUAUUAUAAUAUUUCAGAUUCUUUUCCCAAGAUUACAGAAUACUGAGUAGAGGUCCCUAUGCUCUACAGUAGGUCCUUGUUACUUACUUAUUUCAUAUACAGUAGUGUGUAUAUGUUAAUCCCAAAUGAUAACUCAUUCUCCAAGGAUGCUGAGAGAGUUGCCAGUGGGACUAAAGUCACCUUUGUUCCUUUCCCUUUCUUCCUGGCUCACUUAACACCAGCUUCUUAGGGCAACAUCCCAAAUAAACGACCUCACCCAGGUCCCUGGCUCAGGCUCUGUUUUUGAUGGAACCCCAACCGAAGACAUCCACCUCAACAGGGGAUGCCUCCUUUUCCAUCACGGAGAACAAAAACCCUCAUCAUUCCUCUGAGAGGAAGAAAAGGUUCACCUCAACACAGAAAGGCUGGGAAAGUCUUUUCUUGAGGCAUAGAGCUAGGAGCUGGACGCCUGUCAGUCUUUCCCCCCUCCCCCAACCUCCCUAGCCCCUGACAACCACUUUUCUACUCUCUGUUUCUUUGGGUUUGAUUUUUAUUUGGAUCCCACAUAUAAGUGAAAGCAUACGGUACUUGUCUUUCUCUCUUUGACAUAUUUCA